UACGUAGGGUGCAAGCGUUAAUCGGAAUUACUGGGCGUAAAGCGUGCGCAGGCGGUUCGUUAAGACAGAUGUGAAAUCCCCGGGCUUAACCUGGGAACUGCAUUUGUGACUGGCGGACUGGAGUAUGGCAGAGGGGGGUAGAAUUCCACGUGUAGCAGUGAAAUGCGUAGAGAUGUGGAGGGAUACCGAUGGCGAAGGCAGCCCCCUGGGCCAAUACUGACGCUCAUGCACGAAAGCGUGGGGAGCAAACAGG
rnacentral:rRNA from 1 species